UACAUAAAUUAAGGAUUAUAAAAAUUAUAAUGUACCAACCAAUUAUGAAUUAUAAUACACGAUAUGUACAAAAAAUAAACUUUGUAAUAAGUGUUAAGAUAAAAAAAUGUGAGCAAUUUGUUAUAACAAUAGUGACCAUUAUUAAAAUAACUGGCUGGCUAGCUUUUGUGUCGCCAACCAACCAACUUGUAUACCAGUUAGCUUGUACGUUGGCUUGCUCCACCAUUCAGCGAGUCAACUAGCUUGUUCACUAGUUUGUCAACCAAUCAACUUUCACUAGUCUCUCUUCGCAUAGCAUUAGCUAAAAGUUUAGCAAUAUUGAUUGUCUCCAGAUGCGUCGACCUGAGAUUCUUUGGUGGAGGGAUUUGAUGGAAGUUGAUGUUCAAUGUGAAGUUGCAAAUGCAUGGUUACCAAGUCAGAGUUCUCAUAAAUUUGAUAAUGGUAAAAAUAUUCAGUUCAGAAGGGAUAAACGAUUAGGUGAUUGUAUAUUACAAGAUUGUUCAACGUGAGUACUAGACCGAAUUUAUUUCAUUACA